rnacentral:rRNA from 1 species
UAGGGAAUCUUCCACAAUGGACGCAAGUCUGAUGGAGCAACGCCGCGUGAGUGAAGAAGGUUUUCGGACCGUAAAGCUCUGUUGUUGGUGAAGAAGGAUAGAGGUAGUAACUGGCCUUUAUUUGACGGUAAUCAACCAGAAAGUCACGGCUAACUACGUGCCAGCAGCCGCGGUAAUCGUAGGUGGCAAGCGUUGUCCGGAUUUAUUGGGCGUAAAGCGAGCGCAGGCGGAAGAAUAAGUCUGAUGUGAAAGCCCUCGGCUUAACCGAGGAAUUGCAUCGGAAACUGUUUUUCUUGAGUGCAGAAGAGGAGAGUAGAACUCCAUGUGUAGCGGUGGAAUGCGUAGAUAUAUGGAAGAAUACCAGUGGCGAAGGCGGCUCUCUGGUCUGCAACUGACGCUGAGGCUCGAAAGCAUGGUAGCGAACAGGAUUAGAUACCCUGGUAGUCCAUGCCGUAAACGAUGAGUGCUAAGUGUUGGGAGGCUUCCGCCUCUCAGUGCUGCAGCUAACGCAUUAAGCACUCCGCCUGGGGGAGUACGACCGCAAGGUUGAAAC